AUUGAACGCUAGCGGCAGGCCUAACACAUGCAAGUCGAGCGGAGUGGCGGACGGGUGAGUAAUGCCUAGGAAUCUGCCCGGUAGUGGGGGAUAACGUCGGGAAACGGGCGCUAAUACCGCAUACUAUCAGAUCAGCCUAGGUCGGAUUAGCUAGUUGGUGGGGUAAAGGCUCACCAAGGCGACGAUCCGUAACUGGUCUGAGAGGAGGAUCAGGCACACUGGAACUGAGACACGGUCCAGACUCCUACGGGAGGCAGCAGUAGGGAAUAUUGGGCAAUGGGGGAAAGCCUGAUCCAGCCAUGCCGCGUGAGUGAUGAAGGUCUUCGGAUUGUAAAGCACUUUAGGUUGGGAAGCGGUACCAACAGAAUAAGCACCGGCUAACUUCGUGCCAGCAGCCGCGGUAAUAC
rnacentral:rRNA from 1 species